rnacentral:rRNA from 1 species
GGUUAAGCGACUAAGCGUACACGGUGGAUGCCCUGGCAGUCAGAGGCGAUGAAGGACGUGCUAAUCUGCGAAAAGCGUCGGUAAGGUGAUAUGAACCGUUAUAGCCGGCGAUGUCCGAAUGGGGAAACCCAGUGUGAUUCGUCACACUAUCGUUAACUGAAUACAUAGGUUAACGAGGCGAACCGGGGGAACUGAAACAUCUAAGUACCCCGAGGAAAAGAAAUCAACCGAGAUUCCCCCAGUAGCGGCGAGCGAACGGGGAGCAGCCCAGAGUCUGAAUCAGCUUGUGUGUUAGUGGAACGGUCUGGAAAGUCCGACGGUACAGGGUGAUAGUCCCGUACACCAAAAUGCACAGGCUGUGAACUCGAAGAGUAGGGCGGGACACGUGGUAUCCUGUCUGAAUAUGGGGGGACCAUCCUCCAAGGCUAAAUACUCCUGACUGACCGAUAGUGAACCAGUACCGUGAGGGAAAGGCGAAAAGAACCCCGGCGAGGGGAGUGAAAAAGAACCUGAAACCGUGUACGUACAAGCAGUGGGAGCACCUUUAUGGUGUGACUGCGUACCUUUUGUAUAAUGGGUCAGCGACUUAUAUUCUGUAGCAAGGUUAACCGUAUAGGGGAGCCGCAGGGAAACCGAGUCUUAACUGGGCGUUAAGUUGCAGGGUAUAGACCCGAAACCCGGUGAUCUAGCCAUGGGCAGGUUGAAGGUUGGGUAACACUAACUGGAGGACCGAACCGACUAAUGUUGAAAAAUUAGCGGAUGACUUGUGGCUGGGGGUGAAAGGCCAAUCAAACCGGGAGAUAGCUGGUUCUCCCCGAAAGCUAUUUAGGUAGCGCCUCGUGAACUCAUCUUCGGGGGUAGAGCACUGUUUCGGCUAGGGGGUCAUCCCGACUUACCAACCCGAUGCAAACUACGAAUACCGAAGAAUGUUAUCACGGGAGACACACGGCGGGUGCUAACGUCCGUCGUGAAGAGGGAAACAACCCAGACCGCCAGCUAAGGUCCCAAAGUCAUGGUUAAGUGGGAAACGAUGUGGGAAGGCACAGACAGCCAGGAUGUUGGCUUAGAAGCAGCCAUCAUUUAAAGAAAGCGUAAUAGCUCACUGGUCGAGUCGGCCUGCGCGGAAGAUGUAACGGGGCUAAACCAUGCACCGAAGCUGCGGCAGCGACACGAUGUGUUGUUGGGUAGGGGAGCGUUCUGUAAGCCUGCGAAGGUGACCUGUGAGGGUUGCUGGAGGUAUCAGAAGUGCGAAUGCUGACAUAAGUAACGAUAAAGCGGGUGAAAAGCCCGCUCGCCGGAAGACCAAGGGUUCCUGUCCAACGUUAAUCGGGGCAGGGUGAGUCGACCCCUAAGGCGAGGCCGAAAGGCGUAGUCGAUGGGAAACAGGUUAAUAUUCCUGUACUUGGUGUUACUGCGAAGGGGGGACGGAGAAGGCUAUGUUAGCCGGGCGACGGUUGUCCCGGUUUAAGCAUGUAGGCUGGUUAUCCAGGCAAAUCCGGAUAAUCAAGGCUGAGGUGUGAUGACGAGGCACUACGGUGCUGAAGUAACAAAUGCCCUGCUUCCAGGAAAAGCCUCUAAGCAUCAGGUAACAUCAAAUCGUACCCCAAACCGACACAGGUGGUCAGGUAGAGAAUACCAAGGCGCUUGAGAGAACUCGGGUGAAGGAACUAGGCAAAAUGGUGCCGUAACUUCGGGAGAAGGCACGCUGGUGUGUAGGUGAAGUCCCUGCGGAUGGAGCUGAGACCAGUCGAAGAUACCAGCUGGCUGCAACUGUUUAUUAAAAACACAGCACUGUGCAAACACGAAAGUGGACGUAUACGGUGUGACGCCUGCCCGGUGCCGGAAGGUUAAUUGAUGGGGUUAUCCGUAAGGAGAAGCUCUUGAUCGAAGCCCCGGUAAACGGCGGCCGUAACUAUAACGGUCCUAAGGUAGCGAAAUUCCUUGUCGGGUAAGUUCCGACCUGCACGAAUGGCGUAAUGAUGGCCAGGCUGUCUCCACCCGAGACUCAGUGAAAUUGAACUCGCUGUGAAGAUGCAGUGUACCCGCGGCAAGACGGAAAGACCCCGUGAACCUUUACUAUAGCUUGACACUGAACAUUGAGCCUUGAUGUGUAGGAUAGGUGGGAGGCUUUGAAGCGUGGACGCCAGUCUGCGUGGAGCCAACCUUGAAAUACCACCCUUUAAUGUUUGAUGUUCUAACGUUGGCCCCUUAUCGGGGUUGCGGACAGUGUCUGGUGGGUAGUUUGACUGGGGCGGUCUCCUCCCAAAGCGUAACGGAGGAGCACGAAGGUUAGCUAAUCCUGGUCGGACAUCAGGAGGUUAGUGCAAUGGCAUAAGCUAGCUUGACUGCGAGCGUGACGGCGCGAGCAGGUGCGAAAGCAGGUCAUAGUGAUCCGGUGGUUCUGAAUGGAAGGGCCAUCGCUCAACGGAUAAAAGGUACUCCGGGGAUAACAGGCUGAUACCGCCCAAGAGUUCAUAUCGACGGCGGUGUUUGGCACCUCGAUGUCGGCUCAUCACAUCCUGGGGCUGAAGUAGGUCCCAAGGGUAUGGCUGUUCGCCAUUUAAAGUGGUACGCGAGCUGGGUUUAGAACGUCGUGAGACAGUUCGGUCCCUAUCUGCCGUGGGCGCUGGAGAAUUGAGGGGGGCUGCUCCUAGUACGAGAGGACCGGAGUGGACGCAUCACUGGUGUUCGGGUUGUCAUGCCAAUGGCACUGCCCGGUAGCUAAAUGCGGAAGAGAUAAGUGCUGAAAGCAUCUAAGCACGAAACUUGCCCCGAGAUGAGUUCUCCCUGAGACUUUAAGUCUCCUGAAGGAACGUUGAAGACGACGACGUUGAUAGGCCGGGUGUGUAAGCGCAGCGAUGCGUUGAGCUAACCGGUACUAAUGAACCGUGAGGCUUAACCUU